AUUGAACGCUGGCGGCAUGCUUUACACAUGCAAGUCGAACGGCAGCACGGACUUCGGUCUGGUGGCGAGUGGCGAACGGGUGAGUAAUACAUCGGAACGUGCCCAGUUGUGGGGGAUAACUACUCGAAAGAGUAGCUAAUACCGCAUGAGAACUGAGGUUGAAAGCAGGGGAUCGUAAGACCUUGCGCAACUGGAGCGGCCGAUGGCGGAUUAGGUAGUUGGUGGGAUAAAAGCUUACCAAGCCGACGAUCUGUAGCUGGUCUGAGAGGACGAUCAGCCACACUGGGACUGAGACACGGCCCAGACUCCUACGGGAGGCAGCAGUGGGGAAUUUUGGACAAUGGGCGCAAGCCUGAUCCAGCAAUGCCGCGUGCAGGAUGAAGGCCUUCGGGUUGUAAACUGCUUUUGUACGGAACGAAAAGCCCUGGGUUAAUACCCUGGGGUCAUGACGGUACCGUAAGAAUAAGUACCGGCUAACUACGUGCCAGCCGCCGCGGUAAGAC
rnacentral:rRNA from 1 species